rnacentral:lncRNA from 1 species
UUUGAUGAGUGCCAGGGAGGAGGCGGAGAUUGAGGCUUCUUGGAUCUCGGUUACGAUCAAGAACCCAGAAGAUGGGUUGUUAGGGUUAGGGUCGUUAGGGUAAGGGUUAAGGGGUUUGUAGGAGACAGAAUAAGAGGAGAUGAAAAGGGUCUUGCAGGGUCUUGCUGAGGAAGAGAAGGAGAGGAAGCAAAGGAGGAUAGAGAGGGAAAGGAGGAGUCUUGAGGGUGCCAUGGAGGAAAGGGAAGAGAGAGAGAGAGUCUAGGAGAGAAGAGUUGAUUGAUUUUUUAUGCUCUUGCUGGG